rnacentral:rRNA from 1 species
GGAUUAGGCAUGCAAGUCGAACGGUAGUACCCCUUCGGGGGUAUGAGAGUGGCGAACGGGUGAGUAACGCGUAGGUGAUCCACCUUCAGAUGGGGGACGACCCAGGGAAACUUGGGCUAAUACCGCAUGUGGCUGUAAAGCUAAAGCCGGCCUCUAUUUAUAAGCUGGUGUCUGGAGAUGAGCCUGCGUCUGAUUAGCUAGUUGGUGGGGUAACGGCCUACCGAGGCGAUGAUAAGUAGGCGGCUUUAACGAGUGGUCGCCCACACUGGGAUUGAGAUACGGCCCAGACUCCUACGGGAGGCAGCAGUCGAGGAUAGUCUACAAUGGUCGAGAGAUUGAUAGUGCGACGCCGCGUGAACGAAGAAGCAUUUCGGUGUGUAAAGUUCUUUUCUAUGGGAGCAGUGCUUUUUAUAUGAACAAUAUGAGAAGAGAGAUAUUACUAUAGGAAUAAGCCACGGCUAACUCCGUGCCAGCAGCCGCGGUAAUACGGGGGUGGCGAGCGUUGUCCGGAAUUACUAGGCGUAAAGGGCAGGUAGGCGGUUGUAUAAGUUAAUUGUUAAAGGCCCAUGCUCACCAUGGGUAGGGCAGUUGAUACUGUAUGACUGGAAGCGAGUGGGGGAAGACGGAAUUCCCGGUGUAGCGGUGGAAUGCGCAGAUAUCGGGAGGAACACCAAAGGCGCAGGCAGUCUUCUACGCUUGUCUUGACGCUAAACUGCGAAGGUGCGGGUAUCAAACAGGAUUAGAUACCCUGGUAGUCCGCACAGUAAACGAUAAUCACUAGGUGUCGGUGGGAUAGACCUGUCGGUGCCGUAGCUAACGCGAUAAGUGAUUCGCCUGGGGAGUACGAUCGCAAGGUUGAAACUCAAAGGAAAUGAACGGGGGCCCGCCACAAGCGGUGGAGCAUGUGGUUUAAUUCGAUGCAACGCCAAAAACCUUACCUGGGCUUUGAA